rnacentral:tRNA from 1 species
GAGCUUCAACGGUUCGUAAAUGUUCCCAAUUUUGUCGGUUGCAGCAAACGUCGAGAAGAGCAAACUUAAAAUCCGUCAAGUGUCGGUUCGAGUCCGACUGGGGGCACCA